GUGCUGGCUUCGGCAGCACAUUUACAAAAAUUGGAACAAUUUACAGAGAAGAUUAGCAUGGCCCCUGCGCAAAGAUGAUAGGCGCAUUCGUGAAGCAUUCCAUAUUAAA
ensembl:snRNA U6 U6 spliceosomal RNA